rnacentral:rRNA from 1 species
CUACGGGGUGCACCAGUGAGGAAUUUUGCGCAAUGGGGGAAACCCUGACGCAGCAACGCCGCGUGAGUGAAGAAGGUUUUCGGAUCGUAAAGCUCUGUCAAGUGGGAAAAACGCCUUAUCGUUAAUAGCUUUAAGGUCUGAUGGUACCACUAAAGGAAGCACCGGCGAACUCCGUGCCAGCAGCCGCGGUAAUACGGAGGGUGCAAGCGUUGUUCGGAAUUACUGGGCGUAAAGAGCGUGUAGGCGGCAUAGUAAGUCAGAUGUGAAAGCCCUGGGCUUAACCCAGGAAGUGCAUUUGAUACUGCUAUUCUUGAGUAUGGGAGAGGAGAGUGGAAUUCCUAGUGUAGAGGUGAAAUUCGUAGAUAUUAGGGGGAACAUCCGUGGCGAAGGCGACUCUCUGGACCAAUACUGACGCUGAGACGCGAAAGCGUGGGGAGCAAACAGGAUUAGAUACCCGAGUAGUC